UACAGAGGUCUCAAGCGUUGUUCGGAUUCAUUGGGCGUAAAGGGUGCGUAGGCGGCGGGGUAAGUCUGAUGUGAAAUCCCGGGGCUCAACUCCGGAACUGCAUUGGAUACUGCCUUGCUUGAGUACUGGAGAGGAGACUGGAAUUUACGGUGUAGCAGUGAAAUGCGUAGAGAUCGUAAGGAAGACCAGUGGCGAAGGCGAGUCUCUGGACAGUUACUGACGCUGAGGCACGAAGGCCAGGGGAGCAAACGGG
rnacentral:rRNA from 1 species